AGGACGAACGCUGGCGGUGUGCUUCACACAUGCAAGUCGAACGAGGUAGCAAUACCUAGUGGCGGACGGGUGAGUAACGCGUGGGAAUCUGCCUUUGAAUGGGGGAUAACGGGCCGAAAGGUCCGCUAAUACCGCAUAGGCCGCAAGGUUAAAGGAGUAAUCCGUUCAAAGAUGAGCCCGCGUCCGAUUAGCUAGUUGGUAGGGUAAAAGCCUACCAAGGCGACGAUCGGUAGCUGGUCUGAGAGGAUGAUCAGCCACAAUGGGACUGAGACACGGCCCAUACUCCUACGGGAGGCAGCAGUGGGGAAUUUUACGCAAUGGGCGAAAGCCUGACGUAGCGACACCGCGUGAGCGAAGAAGCCCUUUGGGGUGUAAAGGCUCUGUCGGCUGGAACGAAAAAAAUGACGGUACCAGCAAAGGAAGCAUCGGCUAACUACGUGCCAGCAGCCGC
rnacentral:rRNA from 1 species